rnacentral:rRNA from 1 species
GAUGAACGCUGGCGGCGUGCUUAACACAUGCAAGUCGAACGGAGAAGCAGAGCUUGCUCUGUGGAGCAGUGGCGAACGGGUGAGUAACACGUGCGCAAACAGCCCCUGAAUCUGGGUUAAGCGAUGGAAACGGCGCCGAACACAGGAUAUGAGCUGCGUCCGACCGGACGGCUGAAGGAAAGAUUGUGCUGUUUGGGCUGGGCUCACGGCCUAUCAGCUUGCUGGAGAGGUAAUGGCACACCAAGGCGUCGCCAGGUAGCCGGCCUUAGAGGGUGGCCACCCACCCUGGGACUGCGACACGGCGCAGUCUCCUACGUUAGGCAGAGGGGGGGAACAUUGCACAGUGGGCGCGAGCCUGAUGCAGCAGCGCCGCGUUCGUGAUGCCGUCCUUCGGGUUGUAAACCUCUUUGAGCGGGGAAGAAGCCAUAGUGACGGUACCUGCAGAGAAAGCGCCGGCUAACUACGUG